rnacentral:rRNA from 1 species
GACGAACGCUGGCGGCGUGCUUAACACAUGCAAGUCGAACGGAAAGGCCCUGCUUUUGUGGGGUGCUCGAGUGGCGAACGGGUGAGUAACACGUGAGUAACCUGCCCUUGACUUUGGGAUAACUUCAGGAAACUGGGGCUAAUACCGGAUAGGAGCUCCUGCUGCAUGGUGGGGGUUGGAAAGUUUCGGCGGUUGGGGAUGGACUCGCGGCUUAUCAGCUUGUUGGCGGGGUAGUGGCUUACCAAGGCUUUGACGGGUAGCCGGCCUGAGAGGGUGACCGGCCACAUUGGGACUGAGAUACGACCCAGACUCCUACGGGAGGCAGCAGUGGGGAAUAUUGCACAAUGGGCGGAAGCCUGAUGCAGCAACGCCGCGUGCGGGAUGACGGCCUUCGGGUUGUAAACCGCUUUCGCCUGUGACGAAGCGUGAGUGACGGUAAUGGGUAAAGAAGCACCGGCUAACUACGUG